rnacentral:sRNA from 1 species
AAAGAAACAAGUUGCCUUAGGCCACAGA